UACGAAGGGUGCAAGCGUUAUUCGGAAUUACUGGGCGUAAAGGGUGCGUAGGCGGUUUGUUAAGUCUGUUGUGAAAUCCCCGGGCUCAACCUGGGAAUGGCAAUGGAUACUGGCGGGCUAGAGUGUGUCAGAGGAUGGUGGAAUUCCCGGUGUAGCGGUGGAAUGCGUAGAGAUCGGGAGGAACACCUGUGGCGAAGGCGGCCCCCUGGGCCGGCCCUGACACUGAGACGCGAAGGCGUGGGGAGCGAACGGG
rnacentral:rRNA from 1 species